UAAGACGUAGGGUGCAAGCGUUGUCCGGAUUUACUGGGCGUAAAGAGCGCGUAGGCGGUCUGUUAAGUGUAGAGUGAAAUCUCCAGGGCUCAACCCGGAAACUGCUCUGCAUACUGGCAGACUGGAGGGUCGAAGAGGUGUAUGGAAUUCCUGGUGUAGCGGUGAAAUGCGUUGAUAUCAGGAGGAACACCCAUGGCGAAGGCAGUACACUGGUCGGCAUCUGACGCUGAGGCGCGAAAGCGUGGGUAGCAAACAGGAUUAGAUACCCUGGUAGUCCACGCCCUAAACGAUGGAUACUAGGCGUAAGAGGUAUCGACCCCUCUUGUGCCGCAGCUAACGCACUAAGUAUCCCGCCUGGGGACUACGGCCGCAAGGUUG
rnacentral:rRNA from 1 species